rnacentral:rRNA from 1 species
CAGUCGCCGCGGUAAUACAGAGUGUGCGAGCGUUAAUCGGAUUUACUGGGCGUAAAGCGUGCGUAGGCGGCUUCUUAAGUCGGAUGUGAAAUCCCUGAGCUUAACUUAGGAAUUGCAUUCGAUACUGGGAAGCUAGAGUAUGGGAGAGGAUGGUAGAAUUCCAGGUGUAGCGGUGAAAUGCGUAGAGAUCUGGAGGAAUACCGAUGGCGAAGGCAGCCAUCUGGCCUAAUACUGACGCUGAGGUACGAAAGCAUGGGGAGCAAACAGGAUUAGAUACCCGCGUAGUCCCUGUCUCUUAUAC